CCCAGAUAAGCAGCGAUGAUGCUGAGUGUGACCAUGGAGAGGAGACCUGAUGCUUGCCUACCCCGUGCUGGGUGCAGCCACUUGCCUCUUUGCAAAUGCGGAGGGAAAUGCUGCCCGUGGAGCGCUGAAGGCACGGGAAGCUGUCCCUGGGACUCUCUAAGCCAUCUCAGGUCCCAGUCCCCUGCUCAGAGUUUCCUUCCAGCCCGCAGUUACCAACCGCUCCUCGUGCGAGGCUCUUGUCACCGCCAGAAUGACAUGGUGUCAGGGUGUCAGUCCGUGACUCGCCUCGGCAGCCUGAGGGGUCACCAGCUCAGCUGUGCCUGGAGCACAGACCUGCCUGGGAGGACACCUUCUUCCCCGGGAGCAGUCCCAGUGCCGCACGCUGGAAGUCCUGGGAGCAGGCUGGUACAGCAAAGGGUAAGUUGGAAACAGUGUGCUUAGGAUUUUCAAGGGGGACAGAAAGGAAUUAAGCAUCCAGCUUCC
ensembl:lncRNA